rnacentral:tRNA from 1 species
GUGAGGAUGGCGGAAUUGGCAGACGCGUACGUUUGAGGGGCGUAUGGUUAUACCGUGUGGGUUCAAGUCCCAUUCUUCACACCA